AAUGGGGGAAACCCUGAUCCAGCGACGCCGCGUGAGUGAUGAAGGCCUUCGGGUCGUAAAGCUCUGUUGUACGGGAAGAAGGGCAUUUGGCUAAUACCCAGGUGCUUUGACGGUACCGUAUAAGAAAGGACCGGCUAACUUCGUGCCAACAGCCGCGGUAAGACGAGGGGUCCUAGCGUUGUUCGGAAUCAUUGGGCGUAAAGCGUAUGUAGGCGGCCUUGUAAGUCAGGUGUGAAAGCCCACGGCUCAACCGUGGAAUUGCAUUUGAUACUGCAGGGCUUGAGUACGGAAGAGGGUGGUAGAAUUCCUGGUGUAGUGGUGAAAUACGUAGAUAUCAGGAGGAAUACCGGAGGCGAAGGCGACCACCUGGUCCAAUACUGACGCUGAGACGCGAAAGCGUGGGUAGCGAA
rnacentral:rRNA from 1 species